GGAUUAACUUCAAUUAUUGGCUCGGGUAACAUAUCAUGAGAAGAAAAGGCCGAAUGAUUCUGGGUCCACAUUAUCCUCGAGAUAUGAGACAUUUGUGGCUGUGUGACUGGUAAUCUGCUAUUGAAUUUCAGUGAUUUUGUAAGGUCGGCAUAUUGACUGGUUCCGGAGUCUGAGGAAAUUAAUGCGGGUGGAAAAUGAAGUUUUCUAUGGCUACAUUUUCAUAAUCUUUGCUCCAAA